rnacentral:tRNA from 1 species
GGGGUUGUGGUCUAGUGGUAUGACAUCUUCUUAGCAUUGCUCUGUGAGCAUUACUGAGUGGAGAAGGUUCUGGGUUCGAUUCCCAGCUACUCCA